CGCCUCCCGCUCCCUCAGCGGCCCCGCGGGCUCCUGCCGCGCCGCCUCACUGCACUACGGCGCCGGGACCCUGCCAGAUACUUCAUUCCAGUGAAAACCGACAAAAAUCUGAGCAGAGCUCCCAUCUAACACCGUUAGGGAGCUGAAAGGAGGGGGUGUCCUGGGACAGAUGCUCUCAUGGGAAGCACCCACUGCACGGCAGCCCCCCGAAGAUCCCAGCCCCGAGGGAAGGCACAGGGAGCAAAAAUGGGCAGCGACCAGGGGCCUGUCUGCGCUUCAGGCCUCCCAGAACAUGAGAAUUCAUCGUUCUACUCACCAGUGACCGAAUGUGGCUCCGGUUGCCAAAGCCACUCUCUCAUUGAGGUGGACAGGGAAACCGCCUGCGCGCACCGUCUGGAGCCCAGCAGCAGGUAAGGAGGCACCGACGUGUCAGGACAGCAAUCUGUGUGCGGGCUGCCCGACCCCCAGCUGCCAGCGAGAUAAAGGCGGCAGGGGCCUCCCGUGUCGGGUGGGAAUGGUUCAGCUGAGGACACACAGCCAUGCCAAGGGAGCAGCUGCCAGGGAAGGUCACUGGCCUCGCAGCGAGCUGGCAGCUCUUGGGCAGCACGUGUGCUCUGGUGGGCCAGAGCGACUGCAGCGGGCAGGGAAAGCAGUGGGUACCUGAGACGGGGCGGGACGGACCCUCUUUCUGGCCGGGAGUGUGUGCACACCUGCUAUCGCGGCCGCCAAGGCACCAGCCAAGGGCUGCCCACCACCCUGCGGGACCAGGGCACGGGGAGAGUCCUCCCGAGGACCAGCUGGAGCUGAUCCACCACAGCCGCGGCUGCUGUGGGGCACAAACCGCACGGUAGCGCCUUGCCGAGGUGCAGGCCUGGGCCUGCCGUGGACAAAGUGCCCCGAGGGCACCAAAGCCCCUACAGUAGAAAGGGUCGAGGCUCAAGGUCCGGCCGAGCCCGGGAGAGGGAGCCGGAGCCCCGCUGCAAGCCCGGCCG